rnacentral:snoRNA from 1 species
UCAAUCGCUGUGAUGAAAAAUUCCGGAUGUAAACCAUUGUCAUUUUCCGAGAGCGCAAAACCAUGUGGACACUUUCCGUUGCCUUCCUUCUGAGCCAUAC